CCCUUUUGAUCCACUUCGUGGCAGGCGGUUUCUCACGCGAGCCUAGCCGGCAGCGAGUCACCGCCGGUCGAUUGGCCACUGCGUGGUCACGGGCCCAGGUGUCAUGAGACUGAGACGGUGCAGGCCGCGUGGCUUGACGGCUUCUGUCUUUUGCGUGGUCCCGGGGUUUCCGUUAUUAGUAGCGCCACGUCAUCAGUUCUUCUUCUUCGUUUUUUUUUCGAAUUUUAAACGAUAAUUCUGGUCUUGAUCUCGUCCUCGAGGCAAAUCUCUUUGGGAAUCGCCUGGGAAGUAUCAGUAGAACGGGGGAGAGCUUGAGGAGUAGCCGAGUAGGGUUGGAGAGGCGUAGGGGCGCGUGUGGGCGCUCGAGCUGUUGUUGCUGGGCCUCGCCGGCUCCGUUUUCUUCCACCUCCGCGCGCAGCGGCAGCGCGGCAGCCAGCGGGGGUGGGCGUCAAGUCAAGGCAGCGCCGUCGUUUCAUGUCCGCGGUCAGGUUUGGUGUCUAAUGCAGGUGUGGUACUGGAGUACUGGACUACUGGUCCUGUAGAGCAGUUCGGGGGCGAGGGAGAUGGACUGGCCCUGGCCCCUGGUCGCUGUGCCGCUCCGAACUGGGGCGAGGGCGAGGGCGAGGUGUUCGUGGGUAAGGGUCGCGGGCGAUGUGCGGCUGGGAGGCGGGCUACCGAGGCGUAAGAAAUAAAGCAGUAGUAGACGAGAGAGCCGCGAUUUAUAAAGCGGGUUUGUGUGGCUCGCUGCUCGCCUCCGCUCCACUCCUCUCACCUGGUGACUGCUCCUCCCACCUCGCUGUUUCUUCUACGGGAUCAGGUUGCUGCUUGCUGCGGUUCAGAUCCUUAUCCCCUUCUGCUUUAGAUGGGCCUCGCGGAGCAGUGCAUGGAGGUGGAGGAGGUGCGGGACUCGGCGAAUCGGAGGUGAUCCCGGUCAUGGGGUAGAGUGGAGUGGAGGGGGUUGAGCGUGUGGUAUGGAGCCGUCCCGUGGCGGUGUUGGCGGCGGCGGGCGGCGGUGGGGGGAGGCGGAGGGUGAUGCGGCGGAGGAAGGGAGACGAGGGGAGGACGGGGGCGAGGUGAGCCUGCGGGAGUGGCUGGACCGGCCGGGCCGAGCGGUGGAGGCGGCAGAGUGCGUGCACGUGUUCAGGCAGGUGGCGGAGGCGGUGGCAGUCGCGCACGCGCAGGGGGUGGCCGUGGGCAGCGCGCGGCCGUCGUGCUUCGUCGUGUCGCCGCCCUUCGCGCGCGUCGCCUUCAUCGAGUCCGCCUCCGGCUCCGACGCCUCGGGCUCGUGCUCGGGCUCUGACGCCUCCGAGGACGCCGACGGCGACCCGGACCCGGACCCGGACCCGGACGCCUCGCCUCCGCUGCGGCGACGCGACAGCGCCGUCCCCGGCGAGGAGCGCGCGGGGAGGUCGUUCCCGCUCAAGAGCGUGCUGGCCAUGGAGCUCAGCUGGUACACCAGCCCUGAGGAUGCGGACGACAGCGCCGCUACCUUCGCCUCUGACGUCUACAGACUGGGUGUGCUCUUGUUCGAGCUGUUCUAUACGUUCGAAACGAUGGAGGACAAGAUGCGGGCAAUGGCGAAUCUGCGGCACCGGGUGUUGCCACCGCAGUUGCUGUUCAAAUGGCCCAAGGAAGCAUCCUUCUGCCAGUUGCUAAUGCACCCUGUGCCAGAAACCAGACCGAAGAUGAGUGAGGUGCUGCAGAGUGAGUUCCUUAAUCAGUCAAGGAAUAGCCUGGAAGAGCAUGAAGCGGCACUUAGGUUACGCGAAGAGAUAGAAGAACAAGAAUUAUUGCUGGAUUUUCUUCAGCAGUUGCAGAAAAGAAAGCAAGAUAUAGCCGACAGUUUGCAGGGCACUAUUGCUUUCCUCUCUUCUGACAUCAAUGAGGUACCCCACCAGCAAUCUACAAUUGGCCACUGUGAGAACUUCUUAUCCGAUGGGGAUAAAGAGGUGUGCUCUGGAACUGUUGAAGAGCAGAGUGAUUGUGGAUCCAGGAAGCGUUUUAGACCUGAGCUGCAAGGUGUUGAUAUGGAGGAAAAUAAUCGUAGUGUUGAAGAAUGUUCCAGAACAGUACCAUCCUCUGAGUUAAUCCAGGAAAGUGUUCUGUCUAAAAGCUCCAGGUUGAUGAAGAACUUCAAAAAACUUGAAACAGCCUAUUUUCUAACAAGGUCCAAGUUGAUGAAGCAAGUUGGCAGCCAAAUAAGUAGCUGUGAUCGAGUUGUUAAGAACACUACUGGUUCAGCUGUUGGGACUGAGGGAAGUUCACUAGAUGAUUUUUCUUUGGAAAGGCAAUAUGGUACAAGGCAAAGAGGUUGGGUAAACUCUUUUCUUGAAGGAUUGUGCAAGUAUUUGUCAUUCAGUAAGUUGAAAGUUCGGGCAGAACUGAAGCAUUGUGAUUUGCUGAACUCGUCAAACUUAGUAUGCUCCGUAGGGUUUGACCGAGAUAGAGAGUUUUUUGCAACUGCAGGUGUAAAUAAGAAGAUAAAAGUGUUUGAGUAUAAUAUGAUUGUAAAUGAACACCGUGAUAUUCACUAUCCUGUAGUAGAGAUGUCUAAUAGAUCAAAGUUGAGUUGUAUUUGCUGGAACAGUUAUAUGAAGAGCCAUAUUGCAUCUAGUGAUUUUGAGGGUAUAGUACAGGUUUGGGAUGUUACUAGGAGUCAAGUUUUUGUUGGGAUGAGGGAGCAUGAGCGACGCGUGUGGUCGGUGGACUUCUCAAUUGUGGACCCAACAAAAUUGGUCAGUGGGAGUGAUGAUGGAUCUGUGAAACUGUGGGAUAUGAAUCAGGCAAUUUUAUUCUUGCACCUACUGCUGGGAGUAUUGGCACUAUUAGAACAAGAGCAAAUGUGUGUUCUGUACAAUUUCAACCUGAUACUGCUCGCUCCAUUGCCAUCGGCUCUGCAGACCACAAAAUUUACUGCUAUGAUCUACGUAACAUACGAGCUCCUUAUUGUACACUAGUUGGCCACACAAAGACUGUAAGCUAUGUUAAGUAUCUGGAUGCAUCAACAAUACUAUCCGCAUCUACUGACAACUCAUUGAAGCUUUGGGACUUAUCGAUGAAUCCAGGAAGGAUAAUUGACAGUCCAGUUCAAACAUUUACAGGGCAUACAAAUACAAAGAACUUCGUUGGUCUUUCCAUAUCUGAUGGUUACAUUGCUACUGGCUCUGAAACAAAUGAGGUUUUUGUCUACCACAAAGAAUUUCCCAUGCCAGUGUUGGCUUAUAAGUUCAGCGUGACGGACCCUAUAUCGGGACAGGAGAUUGAUGAUCAGUCACAGUUCAUUUCAUGCGUCUGCUGGAGAGGGCAGUCUUCAACUCUACUUUCUGCAAAUUCCAGCGGCAACAUUAAGAUCUUAGAAAUGGACUGAGGAGUUUGCAUCUGUUUGAGUCUCAGCUAUAAAUAGACCGACUUCUUAGGCCGUGCUCAACAAAUCAUGCAUAUAGCCGUGGUAGAUGUCACUGUCUAGGGAGUUGAGUUUAAAAUGAGAGAUUGGAUGAGUAAUGCUGCUAGAGAUAGCUUACCAAGUUGUGCGCGUGCGUGGCUUCAAAAUUUGUGGCGAUUAAAUCCAGAGUUGCCAACGGUGCAGCUUAAUCCGAGUUGCAGAGUUGGGAAAGGUAGUAGCUGUAGCAGAUUUAGCGUGGUUUUAUAGGAUUACAGAUUAGCGUGGUAGCAAAAGUAGCAUAAAUAGGAAACAGAAUUGGGGCGUGGGAUAGUACCACGGGGAAAGGUUUUGUACAUCAUUGGUUUGAGGUAUACUUGUACAGGCAAUCAAUCCAGUUUCUACCUACCAGUACCAGCAUCAGACUUGCUCUUGUCAUAGUGUUACUUGAAAGGUGAAAGGUAUAAAUCGCUGUACAUCUGUUGAAUCAGACAUCAGCAUUUGCAUCA